AACUUAAUUUUGACCUGAAAAUAGGAUGUUUGGGGAAUUGGGUAAGACGUUAUGGAUUUGUGUUUACCGUUUUGAGAAUACGAGACAUAGUUUCAAGAACUGUAUUUAAGCAAUCGAGAAAAACUGUUAUUUACUCCC